UACGGAGGGGGCAAGCGUUAUUCGGAAUUAUUGGGCGUAAAGGGCGCGUAGGCGGCUUGACAAGUCAAAGGUGAAAUCCCUCGGCUCAACUGAGGAACUGCCUUUGAAACUGUCUGGCUUGAGGCCGGGAGGGGGUAGCGGAAUUCCCAGUGUAGCGGUGAAAUGCGUAGAGAUCGGGAGGAACACCAAAGGCGAAAGCACUCUGCUGGGCCGCAACUGACACUGAGAGACGAAAGCGAGGGGAGCAAAUGGG
rnacentral:rRNA from 1 species